UAAAGAAUAACUUUGUCUUGUAAUUAGUACAAGUCUAGUGCAAGUCUAGCGCAAAUCUAGUGCGAGUCUGGUGCAACAUUUACGAAGAAUAUUUCUAACGCCAAUUUUUUCCUAUUUCUAUCGUUUUUCAUCAACGAAGGAGAGCAAGCCAAAAACAGAGACAUAAAAUUGACAUUUAUGAGGGUCACCUAGCACGGUUGAAGGCGCUGACGUCACGUAAAUCGCAGCUGACACAUUGAAGGAAUAAAAGCAGCGGAGAAUAUAACGCUAACAAAAAUUUUCCGUUUUUCCUCGUGACGAUCAUGCAUAUAUGGGCGAUUCCAAAAAAAUAGUGAUUAUCACGAAAUCACUCUUUUAAUCAGUAUUACAAGAUAAUACCAGCUACUAAGUGAGCAAGUCAGUGCUGAAUGACCAGAUAUUUCCUUGAACAUUCUUGGAGAUGAAUAACUUUUCUGAGAUGCCAUCCUGAUUGCCAUAGGUACUUCAAAAUUAGUCCACUCGGAGAGUACAUCAAUAUCUUUCUACCAGAUUCUACCAAUGUGUCUACGAUUUUUCCGCUGAGGCUUGGGCGCUUCGAAUGGCCACGGUACUGACAGAUCUCCAUAUAAGCAUAUAAAAUAAAAAUGAAAAUGAAUAGA